GUCGAGUUCUGUGCGAUUUUCCUGUGAAUUCGGAAAAAACGAGGCACGACUUAUUCAAUGGAUACUCUCGCGCUUUUCCCUUCUUUGCACUCUCUGGGUGCAAAAAUCAUGCAAUUUGAGAAGUCAAUUAAGCCGGCUACGAUUUUAAAAUACAGGCAUAUAGACAUUCGAGCAUGUAACGACAAUUGAUCUGUGGAUGAACCUGAGCUUAUCUUUGAAAUAAUGGCGAUUUUUUCCAAUUAAGCUGAGUAAACAUUGGAAAUGAAACGAUUACCAAGGAAAAUGUAUAUGAGUCCUGGUCUUCAAUGGCUUGUUACUUGGAAGUGAAAUGAUUUCAAACAAAAUGAUAAGUAUUUUUCCUUCAAUAAUUACUUUAUUUUAUUUGUAUUAAUUCAUUCACAAUAUAUGGUAAAGAUCGU